GACAGUGACCUUUAGACAGUCUGAUGCCUUAACUCCUUGAGUGCCCUCUGACUCUAACAAAGAAUCACUGUCUGUGUUUCAUUGUAACUACAAGCUACUUGAUUGAGAAAGCUCCUCUCAGUUGACUUUUAAAACUCAACUUUAUGCUUUAUUCACAAUUGUCAAGGAGUAGAAGCAACCUAAAUGCCCAUCAACAGACCACUGGAUGAAGAAGUUAUGGGAUGCAUAUUCAGUGGAAUACUACUAUGACUUAAAAAGACAAUAUUGUGUCCUUCAGGACAAAACACAUGCAACUGGAGGUGAUUAUGCCUAGUGAAGGAAUUACAAGGAAUGAGUUCAAAUGAGAGACCUAGUUGAGCAAGGGAAAAAGAAGAUCUUCCCUGCCUGUUGCUGUGCCCACUCCUCAAACUCCAGGAACAAGAAACCACUCAGGCUCCAGAUGCAGAGCUUUGCCGAGGCUGGACUAGAGACCCCAAGCUCCCCGGGAACCAAGUGCAAUUCCUAGGAUACCUCACCAGUCA